CCCGACCCAGGGAUCAAACCCUGGUCUCCUGCACUGAAGGAAGACUGUGGGGAUGUUUCCCAAAAAGUGAAUGGGGAGCACGUGGCUUGGUUGAAUGACAGAUGCCUGCAGUGGAAAAGUUGAUGACUCCUCAGGCCUCAAGGUGUCUGAAUAAAGCCAGGAAGGGACCAAAGGAACAAGCCACGUGUUAUCUGGGAAACAGCAUCUUGGCAGCAGGGACCACAGGGAAAGAAUUUUGAUGAGCAUAGUUCCUCCAGCUCCCCAGAUCUGACACCCUUACCUAGCCAGAGGACGGUCAUCCAACCCAGAGAAGGAAAUCUUGUGUGUGGGCAGGAGGGACAGAGUAAAGCCCCCUCAUCUUGGCUCCCUCCUUUGUGCAGGGCCCCACAGGCA